rnacentral:rRNA from 1 species
AGAGUUUGAUCAUGGCUCAGGACGAACGCUGACGGUGUGCUUUAGGCAUGCAAGUCGAACGAGAAAGCCCUUCGGGGUGAGUAAAGUGGCGAACGGGUGAGUAACACGUGGGCAACCUGCCCCUCGCUCUGGGACAACCCGGGGAAACUCGGGCUAAUACCGGAUACGACCUCUGCGGGCAUCUGCGGAGGUGGAAAGUUUUUCGGCGAGGGAUGGGCCCGCGGUGCAUUAGCUAGUUGGUGGGGUAACGGCCCACCAAGGCGACGAUGCGUAGCUGGUCUGAGAGGAUGAUCAGCCACACUGGGACUGAGACACGGCCCAGACUCCUACGGGAGGCAGCAGCCAGGAAUCUUGGGCAAUGGGCGAAAGCCUGACCCAGCAACACCGUGUGGGUGAUGAAGGCCUUCGGGUCGUAAAGCCCUGUUGAUAGGGACGAAGGGCGAAGGGUUAAUAGCCUGGAGCUUGACGGUACCUUUCGAGGAAGCCCCGGCUAACUACGUGCCAGCAGCCGCGGUAAUACGUAGGGGGCGAGCGUUGUCCGGAAUUAUUGGGCGUAAAGAGCGUGUAGGCGGUUCGGUAAGUCUGCCGUGAAAACCUGAGGCUCAACCUCGGGCGUGCGGUGGAUACUGCCGGGCUAGAGGACGGUAGAGGCGAGUGGAAUUCCCGGUGUAGCGGUGAAAUGCGCAGAUAUCGGGAGGAACACCAGUAGCGAAGGCGGCUCGCUGGGCCGUUCCUGACGCUGAGACGCGAAAGCUAGGGGAGCGAACAGGAUUAGAUACCCUGGUAGUCC